rnacentral:rRNA from 1 species
UAGGGAAUAUUGGACAAUGGGGGCAACCCUGAUCCAGCCAUGCCGCGUGAGUGAAGAAGGCCCUCGGGUUGUAAAGCUCUUUUGUCCGGAAAGAAAAGCUUCGGGUUAAUACCCCGGGGUUCUGACGGUACCGUAAGAAGAAGCACCGGCUAACUACGUGCCAGCAGCCGCGGUAAUACGUAGGGUGCGAGCGUUAAUCGGAAUUACUGGGCGUAAAGCGUGCGCAGGCGGUUUUGUAAGACAGAUGUGAAAUCCCCGGGCUUAACCUGGGAACGGCGUUUGUGACUGCAAGGCUGGAGUACGGCAGAGGGGGGUGGAAUUCCACGUGUAGCAGUGAAAUGCGUAGAGAUGUGGAGGAACACCGAUGGCGAAGGCAGCCCCCUGGGCCUGUACUGACGCUGAUGCACGAAAGCGUGGGGAGCAAACA